UACGUAGGGGCUAGCGUUGUCCGGAAUCAUUGGGCGUAAAGAGCGCGUAGGCGGCCAGAUAAGUCCGGUGUGAAAGUCACAGGCUCAACCUGUGAAUGCCGCUGGAAACUGUCUGGCUAGAGUCCGGGAGGGGCGAGUGGAAUUCCUGGUGUAGCGGUGAAAUGCGCAGAUAUCAGGAGGAACACCAAUGGCGAAGGCAGCUCGCUGGAACGGUACUGACGCUGAGGCGCGAAAGCGUGGGGAGCGAACAGG
rnacentral:rRNA from 1 species